rnacentral:precursor_RNA from 15 species
GUGAGCAGAGCCCGGCCGAGUGUCCGCUCAUGUAAACAUCCUACACUCAGCUGUCGGGCACGGAGGGCUGGGAGGCGGAUGUUUACGUCAGCUGCCUCGGCAUGUCAGCCGGCCACGCA